rnacentral:rRNA from 1 species
GCGUCGUCUUCAGAGUUUGAUCCUGGCUCAGGACGAACGCUGGCGGCGUGCCUAACACAUGCAAGUCGAACGGAGUUGACCUUCGGGUUAACUUAGUGGCGAACGGGUGAGUAACGCGUGAGGAACCUGCCUUUCAGUGGGGGACAACAGUUGGAAACGACUGCUAAUACCGCAUAAUGCAAUCGAGCGGCAUCGCUUGGUUGCCAAAGAUUUAUUGCUGAAAGAUGGCCUCGCGUCUGAUUAGCUAGUUGGUGAGGUAACGGCUCACCAAGGCGACGAUCAGUAGCCGGUCUGAGAGGAUGAACGGCCACAUUGGGACUGAGAUACGGCCCAG